UUUGAAAUCUGGUGCCCUCGGCGCCCGAGUUGUAAUUUGUAGAGGGUGGCCCGGGUCCGUCCCCGUCUAAGUCCCCUGGAACGGGGCGUCGUAGAGGGUGAGAAUCCCGUAUGCGACGGGGCGACGUACCCGUGUGGGCCCCCUUCGACGAGUCGAGUUGUUUGGGAAUGCAGCUCUAAAUGGGAGGUAAAUUCCUUCUAAAGCUAAAUACCGGCCAGAGACCGAUAGCGCACAAGUAGAGUGAUCGAAAGAUGAAAAGCACUUUGGAAAGAGAGUUAAAAAGCACGUGAAAUUGUUGAAAGGGAAGCGCUCACGACCAGACUCGGGUGCAGGUGCUCAACCACUCCGGUGCAUCGCCCGCACCCGGGCCAGCAUCGGUUCGGGCGGUCGGAUAAAGGCCCCGGGAACGUAGCUCCUCUCGGGGAGUGUUAUAGCCCGGGGUGCAAUGCGGCCCGCCCGGACCGAGGACCGCGUUCGCUAGGAUGCUGGCGUAAUGGUCGUUAGCGGCCCGUCUUGAAACACGGACCAAGGAGUCUACCAUCUGUGCGAGUCUUAGGGUGUCAAACCCUUGGGCGCAAUGAAAGUGAACGGAGGUGGGAACUUUUGUGCACCAUCGACCGAUCCAGAAGUCCUCGGACGGAUUUGAGUAAGAGCACCGCUGGUGGGACCCGAAAGAUGGUGAACUAUGCGCGGAUAGGGUGAAGCCAGAGGAAACUCUGGUGGAGGCUCGCAGCGGUUCUGACGUGCAAAUCGUGAGUUUUAAACGUGUACCCGUGGGUUUGAGAUCCGGCAGCUAACAAACAUUCUAGGAUCGUCAAAUCUACGCAUAGGGGCGAAAGACUAAUCGAACCAUGAACGAUACUACUAGGUGGUUGAGAGCGGGUACUGCUAUCGGUGCCCGCCUAGUCCCCGAGCUGGGGGCAAUAUUGCCAAAUUGCGGGGACUCCUGUCAAGCGAUCCGGGUGACCGCCCUCACGCCGAGAGGUGGCGAGCAGGCACCGGGCCCAAGGGCUCGGGUACGGUCAGAGCACUCGCGCUUAGG
rnacentral:rRNA from 1 species